rnacentral:rRNA from 1 species
AUGCAAGUCUCAGUACGAGCUUACUUAAAGUGAAACCGCAAAAGGCUCAGUAAACCGGUCAUAGUUUACCGGAUAUAUGCCACUGACGUGGAUAACUGUGGUAAUUCUAGAGCUAAUACAUGCAAACAAGUCCCGACCAGCGAUGGAGAGGACGCUUUUAUUGGAUCAAAACCAUUCGCCCGGCUUGCCCGGGCGUCGGCUUGAUGACUCUAGAUAACACCACAGAUCGCACGGUCACAGUACCGGUGACAUAUCCUUCAAAUGUCUGACUUAUCAGCUGUCGAUGGUAGACUCUGUGUCUACCAUGGCGCUCACGGGUGACGGGGAAUCAGGGUUCGAUUCCGGAGAGGGAGCCUGAGAAACGGCUACCACAUCCAAGGAAGGCAGCAGGCACGCAAAUUACCCACUCCCGGCACGGGGAGGUAGUGACAAAAAAUAACGAUACGGGACUCAUCCGAGGCCCCGUAAUCGGAAUGAGAACACCCUAAAUCCUUUAACGAGGAUCUAUUGCAGGGCAAGUCUGGUGCCAGCAGCCGCGGUAAUUCCAGCUCCAAUAGCGUAUAUUAAAGUUGUUGCGGUUAAAAAGCUCGUAGUUGGUUCUGCGUGCCACGCUGUCGGUUCACCGCCUGCCGGUGCAACUGGCAUGCCGUGGCAUGUCCUGUCGGUGGCGGAUAGGCCUCUCGGCGCGCCCUAUGCGGUAUACUUGCCGUGUAGCCGGCCGCGCCGAGUCGUCCUUGUACGCCGGCUCAAUCCUACCGCGGUGCUCUUUACCGAGUGUCGAGGUAGGCCGACACUGUUUACUUUGAACAAAUUAGAGUGCUUAAAGCAGGCUCUUAAAUCAGCCUGAAUAGUGGUGCAUGGAAUAAUGGAACAGGACCUUGGUUCUAUUUUGUUGGUUUUCGGAAUCCAAGGUAAUGAUCAAUAAGGACAGGCGGGGGCAUUCGUAUUGCGACGUUAGAGGUGAAAUUCUUGGAUCGUCGCAAGACGCACUAGAGCGAAAGCAUUUGCCAAGUAUGUCUUAAUGAUCAAGUCCGCCGACGUUCCUCCGAUGACUCGGCGGGGAGCUUUCCCCGGGAAACCAAAGCUUUUGGGUUCCGGGGGAAGUAUGGUUGCAAAGCUGAAACUUAAAGGAAUUGACGGAAGGGCACCACCAGGAGUGGAGCCUGCGGCUUAAUUUGACUCAACACGGGAAACCUCACCAGGCCCGGACAUUGGAAGGAUUGACAGAUCGAUAGCUCUUUCUCGAUUCAGUGGGUAGUGGUGCAUGGCCGUUCUUAGUUGGUGGACUGAUUUGUCUGGUUAAUUCCGAUAACGAACGAGACUCUAACCUAUUAACUAGGCGUUGCCGGUAUAAAUAGCUACCGGCGAGAUUUAUUCUUCUUAAGGGGACAGGCGGCUCUCACCCGCACGAGAUUGAACAAUAACAGGUCUGUGAUGCCCUUAGAUGUUCUGGGCCGCACGCGCGCUACACUGAAGGAAUCAGCGUGUGCUCCCCUGUCCGAAAGGUCGGGGUAACCCGCUGAACCUCCUUCGUGCUAGGAAUUGGGGCUUGCAAUUGUUCCCCAUGAACGAGGAAUUCCCAGUAAGCGCGAGUCAUAAGCUCGCGUUGAUUACGUCCCUGCCCUUUGUACACACCGCCCGUCGCUACUACCGAUUGAAUGAUUUAGUGAGGUCUUCGGACGGGCGAUAACCGGCACCGACGCUCGCUCGGUACCGA